rnacentral:rRNA from 1 species
GAUGAAUGCUGGCGGCGUGGAUAAGGCAUGCAAGUCGAACGGUCCCGCUUCGGUGGGAUAGUGGCGAAUGGGUUAGUAACACGUGGGUACAUACCUCCGAGAUGGGCAUAACUUAAGGAAACUUAAGCUAAUACCCAAUAGUCCCUGAGAGAAAAUCUGAGGGUAAAGGUUUCACAAGAAGCCGCUCAGAGAUUGGCCUGCGGCCUAUCAGCUAGUUGGUGGGGUAAUAGCUCACCAAGGCGAUGACGGGUAGGGGAUGUGAGAGCAUGAUCCCCAACAAGGAAACUGCGACACGGUUCCUACUCCUACGGGAGGCAGCAGUCGAGAAUCUUCGACAAUGGGCGAAAGCCUGAUCGAGCGACGCCGCGUGCGGGAAGAAGGACUUCGGUUUGUAAACCGCUUUUCUGGAGGAUGAACCUUCGGGUGACAGUACUCCAGGAAUAAGGGGUUCCUAAACUCGUGCCAGCAGGAGCGGUAAUACGAGUACCCCAAGCAUUAUCCGGAAUUAUUGGGCGUAAAGCGUCUGUAGGUGGCUAAAUAAGUCUAUUGUUAAAUUCCUUUGGCUUAACUAAAGGACUGCGAUAGAAACUAUUCAACUAGAGGACGUUAGAGGCUGAUGGAACUCAGGGUGUAGGGGUGAAAUCCAUUGAUAUCCUGAGGAACACCAAAGGCGAAGGCAUUCAGCUGGAGCGUUCCUGACACUGAGAGACGAAAGCGUGGGGAGCAAAAAGGAUUAGAUACCCUUGUAGUCCACGCUGUAAACGAUGGACACUGGUCAUUUGAAGUAUCGACCCUUCAAGUGGCGAAGCUAACGCGUUAAGUGUCCCGCCUGGGAAGUACGGCGGCAACGCUAAAACUCAAAGGAAUAGACGGGAGCUCGCACAAGCGGUGGAGCAUGUGGUUUAAUUCGACAACAAGCGAAGAACCUUACCGAGGCUUGACAGACUAGUGAAAGUCUGGGGAAACCUAGAUCUCCCACAAGGACACUAGCCCAGGUGCUGCACGGCCCUCGUCAGUUCG